GAGGAUGUGGCUUGUGGGCUGUUGGUAUAUUUAAUGAUCAUAAAUAAAUCCGCAAGCGCAUGGAUAUACCGUUGUAGCAUUUCAACCAAGAGUAUUCCCAAGGGUAUCGUAUUUCCCAAAGGAAGGCGGGUAGGUCAAAAGAGUUUACUAUGCAUAUGAGUAUACAAUAGAUGGAUAGAGACAAUACUCAAGGCAGGGGUAAGAUAGAUAGUGUGACACACACUGGAUCAUCUCAAGAUAACUAAGCUAGGGAGAAGGACUAAGCGUUAGCUCUAGGUUCAUAUGUACUUCCUAUAUAUUGCACAG
rnacentral:lncRNA from 1 species